AACGAACGCUGGCGGCAUGCCUAACACAUGCAAGUCGAACGAAACCUUCGGGUCUAGUGGCGCACGGGUGCGUAACGCGUGGGAACCUGCCUUUAGGUUCGGAAUAACUCAGAGAAAUUUGAGCUAAUACCGGAUGAUGUCUUCGGACCAAAGAUUUAUCGCCUUUAGAUGGGCCCGCGUUGGAUUAGCUAGUUGGUGGGGUAAAGGCCUACCAAGGCGACGAUCCAUAGCUGGUCUGAGAGGAUGAUCAGCCACACUGGGACUGAGACACGGCCCAGACUCCUACGGGAGGCAGCAGUGGGGAAUAUUGGACAAUGGGCGAAAGCCUGAUCCAGCAAUGCCGCGUGAGUGAUGAAGGCCUUAGGGUUGUAAAGCUCUUUUACCCGAGAUGAUAAUGACAGUAUCGGGAGAAUAAGCUCCGGCUAACUCCGUG
rnacentral:rRNA from 1 species